rnacentral:rRNA from 1 species
UACGUAGGUGGCAAGCGUUGCCCGGAUUCACUGGGCGUAAAGCGCGCGCAGGCGGUCUUCUACGUCUGGGGUGAAAACCCGGGGCUCAACCCCGGGACUGCCUUGGAUACGGGGAGACUUGAGGAUCGGAGAGGCAAGGGGAAUUCCACGUGUAGCGGUGAAAUGCGUAGAGAUGUGGAGGAACACCUGUGGCGAAGGCGCCUUGCUGGCCGAUUUCUGACGCUGAGGCGCGAAAGCGUGGGGAGCAAACAGG